rnacentral:rRNA from 1 species
UAUGGAGGAUCCGAGCGUUAUCCGGAAUUAUUGGGUUUAAAGGGUGCGUAGGCGGCCAUUUAAGUCAGCGGUGAAAUUUUGCAGCUUAACUGUAACAGUGCCGUUGAUACUGUUUGGCUAGGAUUUGGUUGUAGUGUGCGGAAUGUGUGGUGUAGCGGUGAAAUGCUUAGAUAUCACACAGAACACCGAUUGCGAAGGCAGCACACUAAGUCAUUAUUGGCGCUGAGGCACGAAAGUGUGGGGAUCAAACAGGAUUAGA